rnacentral:rRNA from 1 species
AACUUUCAACAACGGAUCUCUUGGUUCCAGCAUCGAUGAAGAACGCAGCGAAAUGCGAUAAGUAAUGUGAAUUGCAGAAUUCAGUGAAUCAUCGAGUCUUUGAACGCACAUUGCGCCCCUUGGUAUUCCGGGGGGCAUGCCUGUUCGAGCGUCAUUG